rnacentral:lncRNA from 1 species
UCUCAGACUAGGGGUCAAAUUGGAAUUGCAGCUGCUGGCCUACACCAGAGCCAUACAAAUUCAAGAUCCAAGCCCCAUCUUUGACCUGCACCACAGAUCACAGCAACGCUAGAUCCUUAACCCACUGAGUGAGGCCAGGUAUUGAACCUGCGUCUUCAUGGACACUUGUCAGGUUCCUCACCACUGAGCCACGACAGAAACUCCCACCUCUUCCCUUUCCUUGAAGUGAGACUUUUUUUCCUGGAACACUCAGGCUCAGGUGGAACCGCACAGGCACAUAAGGCCAUGGAGACAUCAAGCGUUCCUGCCACGGAGCCAGUAUCAGGGCAAAGCUGAUCUGGUUUUGCCAAAUGUUCCUGGGAAGGCUGCUCUGUUUGGAUGGAUGUAGUCUGUGCUUAUGUUUAUGUUUAUAAUAUACAAAGAAUGUGAAAGUAACAGGGAUUUUUCAGGUUUGGAGGCCCUGUCAUGGCUUCCAUGUCCCAUCUGGCCUGGGCCUGGAAAGCAAUCAGCCCUGAAGAUUCCCUGCUCAGCCAUAACUGGAUGGUCUCUGUGGGUCUGGUUCACUGCAGUCUGUUCACAGUGGUCCACGCAAGGGUAUGGUGAAACACAGUUAUUUUAUUUUUAGUUUUCAUUUCAGAGUUCUCGGAGAGAUAUAUGCAAUAAUCUUUCAUCCAUACAUUAAUAUCUUACCCUUUCUUUACCUGUUGUGAUGUUUUUGGUAUGUGUUUUGAUUCCUCUGGUUAAUCUCUAAAAACAAACUCUUGGAUUUUUAUCUUAUUCCUCAUAAGAGUCCGGUAAAUUUUCUCUCUGGCAAUUUGUACACAGUACUUUUUAAUCUGGCUAAAAUUUCUCUCAUUUGACAUGCAGCUGCCUAUAUCAUCACACCUUAAACACCUUUUACAUUCUUGAAUAAGGUCCUAUUUUAUCAGGCACCCACUGACCUUAAGAAAAUUUAAACAAACAAACAAAAGAUGAAGAGAGUGACCGCAUGAGUGAGAAGGGAAUCCUAUUUAAAUAGUGCAGGCAACCCAUCCCCUGGCACUAUUCCCAGCUUCAGCCCACACAAAGAGCACAUGCUUAAGUGAGCCUCCAUUGGCAGCCUGUGCAGUAAUAUAAUUGGAGUAUUUAAAGACAUAUGUUUUUUAGGCAUUACCUCUAAAUGCAAGCUACGUGUGAGUCUCAACUACAGAAGGAGCAUUCUGUCCUAAAGUUGGAGGAAAAUGGCCUGUGCUGGGUGCUUUAAAGAUAGUCUCCAAAGUGUUGACCUUCUUAACAAUUUGACUGGUGAACAUUUUCACCUUAUAAGCCAACAUUAGAAGUAAAACUUUAUGAAAGCUAUGAAUUACAGUUUUAUGUUCAGCCCUAUCUGCCUGUAGGUUCUUAACUAAUUGCAUCUAUCUUCUGCAGCCCCAACACAAUUCCUUGAACUGAAAGGUAUUGGAGAAACUGUUUUGAAUGAAUGAUAAAGAAAAUAAAUAUCCAAGUAUUUGAAAGUGUGUCUCCAGUCAGAAUGGCCGUCAUUAAUAAGUCCACAGAUAACAAAUGCUGGAGGGGGUGUGGAGAAAAGGGAACCCUUCUGCACUGUUGGCGGGAAUGUAAGCAGGUACAACCACUGUGGAGAACAGUGUGGAGGUAGCUUAGAAAUCUAUAUAUAGAGCUACCAUAUGACCCAGCAAUCCCACUGUUGGGCAUAUAUCCAGACAAAACUUUCCUUUAAAAAAGACACAUGCACCCACAGGUUCAUUGCAGCACUAUUCACAAUAGCCAAGCCAUGGAAACAACCCAAAUGUCCAUCAACAGAGGAUUGAAUUAGGAAGAAGUGGUAUAUGUACACAAUGGAAUACUACUCAGCCAUAAAAAAGAAUAAAAUAAUGCCAUUUGCAGCAACAUGGAUGGAACUAUAGACUCUCAUACUGAGUGAAGUAAGUCAGAAAGAAAAAGACAAAUACCGUACGGUAUCACUUAUAUCUGGAAUCUAAUAUAUGGCACAAAUGAACCUUUCCACAGAAAAGAAAAUCAUGGACUUGGAGAAUAUACUUGUGGUUGCCAAGGGGGAGGGGAAGGGAGUUGGGUGGAUGGGGAGCUUGGGGUUAAUAGAUGCAAACUAUUGCCUUUGGAAUGGAUUGACAAUGAGAUCCUGCUGUAUGGCACUGGGAACUAUGUCAUCACUUAUGAUGGAGCAUGACAAUGUGAGAAAAAAUAAUGUAUACAUGUAUGUGUAACUAGGUCACCAUGCUGUACAGUAGAAAAAAAAUUAUAUUGGGGAAAUAACAAUUAAAAAAUAAAUAAAUGAAGGGAAACAGGAAAAAUUUUAAAAAUUAAUUUUUUUUUAAAAAAAAAGUGUCUCAUUGAUGGCCUCUGUAAUCCAUGUAAUGAAGUGGUCACCAUGUGGCUGAUAAUCAUACUGAUACUAUUUCUAAGAUACUAUUAAAAACAGUGCUUCUCAAAGGGUGGUCACAAAAUCAUCUACUUCAAAAUGAGCCAGAAGUACUUAAAAGUAAAUGCAUGGGCCCACACCUCUUGAUUCAGCAUCUCUGAGAGCAGUUCCUCAUGCUCUCCAGGUGAUCUUGGUGCUCUCUAAAAUUAGAGCACCAAUGCAUUGGUGGUUCUCAGUAGUGUCUGAGCAUUAGAAUCACCUGGGGAGAUUCUGUUAACUAAUAAUACCUCGUUCACCCCAGAAUACUAAAUCAGAAUCUCUGGGCUGGGCCUGGCCAUCAAUGUGUCUUUAAAGCCCCUCAAAGGAUUCUAACAUGCCUUCAGGGCUGAGAACCACCGUGUUAGUCAGGUGCCUCUGUCUCCCACUUUAACCCACUUGCAAUCUGCUGUAUCAGCUACAUUCAGCAAGCAGUGGGCACUAGGAAAGAAAAGCCCAGGAAAACAAAAAAGACAAAUGUCAGAGCCUGGGGAAAGCUAAACACUGGGCAAACUGCCUCACAGCAUGGGCUUCCAGGGCCAUCAGCAUACAGUCAAAAUGACUGGCUCUAACCAAGCCAGUAAGGGAGCAUCAUUAAGAGACUCUUUGCUACUUUAUGUGUUGCCUAUUAAUAAUUAAAUGAAAUACAUGUCACUAUUCCUAGAACUUGCCCAUGCUACACUUCCUUGGAAUUAGGAAAGGAUAAAUUAAUCACCUGUUUUAAAGAAGAGAAUAUUUGACUCUUCUCUGAAAGAAAUAAUACAUAUUUUGCACAAACUGUUUAUUAAAAAACUGUAUCUGUUGUCUUUUAUGAGCCUCCAAAUGACUAUGUGCUAUAAGUAGAGAAAGUACUAUUGUCCUCACUUUAUAUACAGUAAAACCUGGGGGAAAAAGGUUAGGCAGCUUGUCCAAGCUCACUUAGCAAGUGUAAGAACCAGGACAUAACCCAAGUCUUCUGACCCAAAUCUAUUUUUUUUUUCUCAUUCCAUUCAUCAAUACAAUCUUUCCUCUAAAAAAGAAAAAGAGAAAAUGGAUUCACAUUAUAUGGAAUACUUACCUACGUCUCUCUUAUGAUACUUAUUACUUUCUGAUUUAUAUUUUAUAAUUAUUUACAAAAGUAGAUCUCUCUUACUGUUCUACUUAAAGGUGAACAGUAUGUGUUUGAUUCAUCUUUAUAUUGCCCACGAUGUCCAUCUCUGAAAAAUGGUAGGUAAUCAAUAAAUAUUUCUUGGAUAAUUGGAUGAAAAUAAUAUAUAUUUGAAUUUUCAAAGUGUAAAACCUUCAACAUGAGAGCAUAAUCUUACUAAUCACCAUUAUGAAGAUGAAUGGUAUAAGAUUACACUAAUGGAUAAAACAGAAAAUAGAAAAAGACAGUACUCAGAGCAGAUGAGAAGGUGCAAGAGAAGCUACAAUAAAGGUGGGAGCUGUUACUCCACAAAAAGACCCCUAGAUUUGGGGACCUGGAAGGGAGCAGACACUGACAUAGCUGACUGAAGCAUGUGGGGGCUGGCUUUUGAGUGGUACAUAAUGAAGAAGGCUUAUGUCUCUGAUGUCAACAAGAAAAAUUAAAGGAAAGUAGAAAUUCCAGGAAAAAUAAAAUGCUAUACAAAAAUUCAUGGCAAAAAUAUGAAGCAUGAUUAUAAUAAAUUUAUGGAGAGUUCCCGUCAUGGCUCAGUGGUUAACGAAUCCAACUAGGAACCAUGAGGUUGCGGGUUCGAUCCCUGGCCUUGUUCAGUGGGUUAAAGAUCUGGUGUUCCUGUGAGCUGUGGUGUAGGUUGCAGACGUGGCUCGGAUCCCACAUUGCUGUGGCUCUGGCGUAGGCCCGAGGCUACAGCUCCGAUUCGACCCCUAGCCUGGG